AUUCAGUUGACCAGUCUCAAAUAGGACGAAACGCGAGUCAAAAUGGAU
rfam:Schistosoma mansoni strain Puerto Rico chromosome 4, complete genome